GGCACCACCAGCAAAAAAAUCAAGACGCCGUUAAGAAAGAAAUAAUAGACACACAGAAAAUAAGCAAAAAAAAUAGAAAAGAAAAGAAUUUCUGUUUGUUAUUGUCUUUUUUUCUUUUCUUUUUGCUCUUCAUAUUAAUUUGUUGAAGAAGAAAAAGGACCCACGUAUUGAAAAUAAUAUAUAUACAAUAGGAGCUGUAAUAUUUUAAAAGAGAACAAAACAAAUUAUAUUUAAUUA
rnacentral:ribozyme from 1 species